GUGCUUUGGCGCGGCUAACCGUCGUGGCGUUGUCUUUUCACUGUGCCUCCUGUUGUGCCCGUGCGGCCCGGGAGGAACGCUUGAUAUUUUCGGUCGUCUGUGCGGUUCUACCCUAGUGCGGUACGACAUUCGGUUCCAUGACGGAUAUUUGCUUGUCCCGUUGAUAUUCAUUAUCAUCGGUGCAGCCGACCUGUGGGCUUAAUUCAUGUGUUGCAGUGGGCGAGGGCCUCGGCACUGCGCUUGGAUUUCGCCGGCUCUCACGGAUGCCGUGCCCUUUGAGGAACUCGCGGGCCUCCGGUCCCCUGAUUCCCACGGGAUGUCCCUUGCAUUGGAUCAUUGCUCCGCCGCUCCGCUAUAUUGGUGCGGGUGUUGGGAUGUCGGCGCGGUGCGUGCGGGGCGUGAUCCUGUGCAAGUGAGAUGUUUGUCCGAUCGAAUGAGCGAUUGUCGCGCGUCGUUCCUCAGCGUCGUGGCGGCACUCGUUUAAGACGUGCUACCUGGUUGAUCCUGCCAGUAGUCA
rnacentral:misc_RNA from 1 species